UCAGCUGAUGAAGGUUUUCGGAUCGUAAAGCUCUGUUGUUAGGGAAGAACAAGUACCGUUCGAAUAGGGCGGUACCUUGACGGUACCUAACCAGAAAGCCACGGCUAACUACGUGCCAGCAGCCGCGGUAAUACGUAGGUGGCAAGCGUUGUCCGGAAUUAUUGGGCGUAAAGGGCUCGCAGGCGGUUCCUUAAGUCUGAUGUGAAAGCCCCCGGCUCAACCGGGGAGGGUCAUUGGAAACUGGGGAACUUGAGUGCAGAAGAGGAGAGUGGAAUUCCACGUGUAGCGGUGAAAUGCGUAGAGAUGUGGAGGAACACCAGUGGCGAAGGCGACUCUCUGGUCUGUAACUGACGCUGAGGAGCGAAAGCGUGGGGAGCGAACAGGAUUAGAUACCCUGGUAGUCCACGCCGUAAACGAUGAGUGCUAAGUGUUAGGGGGUUUCCGCCCCUUAGUGCUGCAGCUAACGCAUUAAGCACUCCCCCUGGGGGAGA
rnacentral:rRNA from 1 species